rnacentral:tRNA from 1 species
CAAAAUGUAGCUUAACCAAAGCAUCUGGCUUACACCCAGAAGAUUUUAUUUAUAUAAACAUUUUGA